UUGAGCGGAGAUAUAUGGAGCUUGCUUUAUAUAACUUAGCAGCGAACGGGUGAGUAACACGUAGAUAAUCUAUCCUAUACUGGGGGAUAGCCCGAUGAAAGUUGGAUUAAUACCGCAUAUAGCUAUAUAGUUGCAUGAUUAUGUAGUGAAAGAUUUAUUGGUAUAGGAGGAGUCUGCGGCACAUUAGCUAGUAGGUGAGGUAAAGGCUUACCUAGGCGACGAUGUGUAGCCGGUCUGAGAGGAUGAACGGCCACAAUGGAACUGAGACACGGUCCAUACUCCUACGGGAGGCGGCAGUGGGGAAUAUUGCACAAUGGGGGAAACCCUGAUGCAGCAACGCCGCGUGAGUGAAGAAGGUUUUCGGAUUGUAAAGCUCUGUUAGCAGGGAAGAGGAAGGACGGUACCUGCAGAGGAAGCCACGGCUAACUACGUGCCAGCAGCCGCGGUAAUACGUAGGUGGCAAGCGUUGUUCGGAAUAACUGGGCGUAAAGGAUGCGUAGGCGGUUAAACAAGUUAUAUGUUAAAUAUAUAGGCUUAACCUGUAGAAAGCAUAUAAAACUGUUUAACUAGAGUGCAGGAGAGGUAAGUGGAAUUCCUAGUGUAGCGGUGAAAUGCGUAGAGAUUAGGAAGAACACCAGUGGCGAAGGCGACUUACUGGACUGUAACUGACGCUGAGGCAUGAGAGCAUGGGGAGCAAACAGGAUUAGAUACCCUGGUAGUCCAUGCUGUAAACGAUGGGUACUAGGUGUGGGUUGUGAAUAACAAUUCGUGCCGUCGCAAACGCAAUAAGUACCCCGCCUGAGGAGUACGAUCGCAAGAUAAAAACUCAAAGGAAUUGACGGGGACCCGCACAAGCAGCGGAGCAUGUGGUUUAUUCGAAGCAACGCGAAGAACCUUACCUAAACUUG
rnacentral:rRNA from 1 species